rnacentral:rRNA from 1 species
CACCGGCGGCUCGAGUGGUGGCCACCUUUAUGGGGUCUAAAGCGUCCGUAGCCGGCUUGGCAAGUCCCCUGGGAAAUCUGGCGGCUUAACCGUCAGGCGUCCAGAGGAUACUGCCAGGCUUGGGACCGGGAGAGGUGAGAGGUACCUCAGGGGUAGGGGUGAAAUCUUGUGAUCCCUGAGGGACCACCAGUGGCGAAGGCGUCUCACUAGAACGGGUCCGACGGUCAGGGACGAAAGCUGGGGGCACGAACCGG